GUGCCAGACUCCUACGGGAGGCAGCAGUGGGGAAUAUUGCACAAUGGGGGAAACCCUGAUGCAGCGACGCCGCGUGAGUGAAGAAGUAUUUCGGUAUGUAAAGCUCUAUCAGCAGGGAAGAAAAUGAAGGUACCUGACUAAGAAGCCCCGGCUAACUACGUGCCAGCAGCCGCGGUAAUACGUAGGGGGCAAGCGUUAUCCGGAUUUACUGGGUGUAAAGGGAGCGUAGACGGCAUGGCAAGUCAGAUGUGAAAGCCCGGGGCUCAACCCCGGGACUGCAUUUGAAACUGUCAGGCUAGAGUGCAGGAGAGGUAAGUGGAAUUCCUAGUGUAGCGGUGAAAUGCGUAGAUAUUAGGAGGAACACCAGUGGCGAAGGCGGCUUACUGGACUGUAACUGACGUUGAGGCUCGAAAGCGUGGGGAGCAAACAGGAUUAGAUCCCCGGGUA
rnacentral:rRNA from 1 species